rnacentral:rRNA from 1 species
AUCCUACGGGAGGCAGCAGUGGGGGAUAUUGCACAAUGGGGGGAACCCUGAUGCAGCGACGCCGCGUGGGUGAAGGAGCGUUUCGGCGCGUAAAGCCCUAUCGGCAGGGAAGAAGAUGACGGUACCUGACCAAGAAGCCCCGGCUAACUACGUGCCAGCAGCCGCGGGAAUACGUAGGGUGCAAGCGUUAUCCGGAUUUAUUGGGCGUAAAGGGCUCGUAGGCGGUUCGGCGCGUCCGGUGUGAAA